rnacentral:rRNA from 1 species
CCUACGGGGGGCAGCAGUGAGGAAUAUUGGUCAAUGGUCGGGAGACUGAACCAGCCAAGCCGCGUGAGGGAGGAAGGUACAGAGUAUCGUAAACCUCUUUUGUCAGGGAACAAAGGCGGGGGCGUGUCCCCGGAUGAGUGUACCUGAAGAAAAAGCAUCGGCUAACUCCGUGCCAGCAGCCGCGGUAAUCCGGAGGAGGCGAGCGUUAUCCGGAUUGAUGGGGUUUAAAGGGUGCGCAGGCGUUCUGUUAUGUGAUCGGUAAAAGCCCGGGGCUCAACCCCGGCCCGCCGUUGAAACUGGCAGUCGCGAGUUGGAGAGAAGUAUGCGGAAUGCGCGGUGUAGCGGUGAAAUGCAUAGAUAUCGCGCAGAACUCCGAUUGCGAAGGCAGCAUGCCGGCUCCACACUGACGCUGAGGCACGAAAGCGUGGGUAUCGAACAGGAUUAGAUACCCCAGUAGUC